AGCCCGUUAAUGGGUGAUGGCGUGCCUUUUGUAGAAUGAACCGGCGAGUUACGAUUUGAUGCAAGGUUAAGCAGUAAAUGUGGAGCCGUAGCGAAAGCGAGUCUGAAUAGGGCGUUUAGUAUUUGGUCGUAGACCCGAAACCAGGUGAUCUACCCUUGGUCAGGUUGAAGUUCAGGUAACACUGAAUGGAGGACCGAACCGACUUACGUUGAAAAGUGAGCGGAUGAACUGAGGGUAGCGGAGAAAUUCCAAUCGAACCUGGAGAUAGCUGGUUCUCUCCGAAAUAGCUUUAGGGCUAGCCUCAAGUGAUGAUUAUUGGAGGUAGAGCACUGUUUGGACGAGGGGCCCCUCUCGGGUUACCGAAUUCAGACAAACUCCGAAUGCCAAUUAAUUUAACUUGGGAGUCAGAACAUGGGUGAUAAGGUCCGUGUUCGAAAGGGAAACAGCCCAGACCACCAGCUAAGGUCCCAAAAUAUAUGUUAAGUGGAAAAGGAUGUGGCGUUGCCCAGACAACUAGGAUGUUGGCUUAGAAGCAGCCAUCAUUUAAAGAGUGCGUAAUAGCUCACUAGUCGAGUGACACUGCGCCGA
rnacentral:rRNA from 1 species